AUGAUCUGUUCUGCAGAUUUUCAGAACACUAAGUGCAUAUCUUGCCUUGCAAUGCUGCUGAUUCGACAAUCGAAUUGGAUUCAAACUGGACUUGCGACCAGAGCAACCCCAAGCAAGAUGAACUCGAUUGGAAGAUGUCUUCUAAACUCUGAAGGCAAGCACUCGGCCGACACUUUUGCUCUUGUAGAAGGCAUGCCAUUUGAUUCAUGCCAAGAAGCGUUAAGAGGGACAGUGAUAAUUCUUCUUCGUGCAAAACAGAACGAAGGCGAGGAUGCGUCUCCUCCAUGCAAAGCAGGUUGGUGCAUCAGUGAAACUGGAUGCGAAAUUAAGUGUGCGCGUCCAGAAUAUUUUCAGGCAUAUGGGAAUGUUGUGCAAACAUUUUGUUGGUUUCAGACAAUUGAAAGCAAUGCUACAGUCCAAAUUUUGCCAAGAGAAAGGAGUUUAGGGAAGACGACAGAGGAGGAAUAUGAUGUUGCCCCAACCCCAGGUACUACCUUUACACCCGUAUCCACUUUUGGACAAAAUCAGGAUCUAGAGUUCAUGAAGAGCGCGACUGAAUUUAAAAAGGUCCGUGCGUAUUCUUGGUACCUCGAGGAUGAGAGCAAGCCACCCAAAAAAUGGCCAGAAGGAAGCACCAUAUGUGCAGGACUUCAGACGCUGCAUGCUCUGCUCACUGAAGGUGCCCGCUGUUUGUGUUUGGAUGUUGUUGCUGCCGUAUGUCAAGCUCGUCACCAGGCUCACAACUGCGGAAUCAUAGGCGCGAAACGCUUCAAGGUGUCCGCCAAAGCCCGUGUCAUUGAGCAGAAAGUUGCCUCGCUCAACCAAAUUGCACCUGUCAUUGAUGCAUGGCGAGGGCACUCGGAAUCUAGUGUUUCUCCGUUGCGAAGCAUGCGAUGUUGA
rnacentral:rRNA from 1 species